UGCAACGUAUUCUGUGCAUGCAGUACGACGGUUGUAGUUUGAACCAGUUCUGGAAGCUCCCACACAGGUGGGUGUGUCUAAUCCCUUGCAGAUGAAGGAAGCUAUUGACUUUUAAAAUAAAGGUCCUCUGUAGACGCUCGAUGUAAU